rnacentral:rRNA from 1 species
UACAGGGGGGGCAAGCGUUGUUCGGAAUUACUGGGCGUAAAGGGCGCGUAGGCGGCCGCCUAAGUCAGACGUGAAAUCCCUCGGCUCAACCGGGGAACUGCGUCUGAUACUGGGUGGCUUGAAUCCGGGAGAGGGAUGCGGAAUUCCAGGUGUAGCGGUGAAAUGCGUAGAUAUCUGGAGGAACACCGGUGGCGAAGGCGGCAUCCUGGACCGGCAUUGACGCUGAGGCGCGAAAGCCAGGGGAGCAAACGGG